GACGAACCGAGCGAACGUUGUUCGGAAUCACUGGGCUUAAAGGGCGCGUAGGCGGGCUGGAAAGUCCGUGGUGAAAUCCCCCGGCCCAACCGGGGAACGGCCUCGGAUACUUUCGGCCUGGAGGGGGGUAGGGGCACGCGGAACCGUGGGUGGAGCGGUGAAAUGCGUUGAUAUCCACGGGAACUCCGGUGGCGAAGGCGGCGUGCUGGACCCCACCUGACGCUGAGGCGCGAAAGCCAGGGGAGCGAACGGG
rnacentral:rRNA from 1 species